GACGAACGCUGGCGGCGUGCUUAACACAUGCAAGUCGAACGGAAAGGCCCUGCUUUUGUGUGGUGCUCGAGUGGCGAACGGGUGAGUAACACUUGAGUAACCUGCCUUUGACUUUGGGAUAACUUCAGGAAACUGUGGCUCAUACCGCAUAGGAGCUCCUGCUGCAUGGUGGGGGUUCGAAAGUUUCGGCGGUUGGUUAUGGACUCGCGGCGUACCAGCUUGUUGGUGGGGUAGGGGCUUACCAUGGCUAUGACGGGUAGCCGGCCUGAGAGGGGAAGCGGACACGCGGCAACUGGAAUGCGGCCCAGACUAGAACGGGAGGCGACAGAGAAGAAGAGUACAGGAGACACGGGAGGAAGACCUGAUAACGCGACGGGGGGGAAGGGAAGAAGGGGGUGGGAUAGUAAUUUCGUUUUAGACGGGAAGAGAAUGACGGUAAUGGGGAAAGAAGCACCGGCUAACUACGUG
rnacentral:rRNA from 1 species